rnacentral:tRNA from 1 species
AGAAAAGUAUUUAAAUAGAUAAAAACUAAUUUGCAUUUAGAAAUUGCUAAAAGCCUUCUCUA